AUGCAGGCCUCGUCUCCCCAAUCCCCCCAUCCACACGAAACCCUAGCGGCCGAAUCGCGAUCCCCUUCCCGUCUCCGUCGCGACGGCUCCACCCCUACCCCUAUGAUCGUCGAUCAGAUGCCGAUGCCGCAGAAGCGGCGCCGCCGCCGGAGGAGGCCUCUUGAAGAAGGAGUGUCCCGCCGGCGCCUUGGUGACGGUGGCGCAUCGUUGUCUGGAUCCCUUGUCUAUUCGGACUCUGAUAGCAGCAGCCGUGUGGAUGGAGGCUCUCCGCCGCCCGACGAGCCUGCAACAGAGCCAAGGUACCAUGAAAUUGUUGCCUCGCGCCUCGCCCAAUUGCAGUUACCAGUCGGCUCGGAAUGGGACUUGGCCGGUUUUUCAAAUAUCCCUUCCCGCGAAAUCCUCGAAGCCCUUACUCGUAAAUCUUUCCACGAUGAUGAGUCGCGAGCUGCUCUAGUACAAUAUCAAAUCCAGUGUUUCUUCAACGAGGCCCAAGAGGGACGAGACAGAGAUUCACAAGGAAAAUCUGAUUCGGCCGUCGUUGUUGUUGCUGAACCGGCCAAUGAUGCUAUCACGAAGCAGCAACACAAAAGCGACUGUGAAAAGCUAGCGGCCCGCAUGACUGAAAUUGAGACUUACACCGAACUGGACCAAGAGGAGACCAACAAGUUCCAUCUCAAGUAUGCGCUUUAUCGCAUCAAAGCUUGCCUGCUGUUGAAAGGAGUGCCGGUUGACAAGAUUGAUGCUGCUGCGUUGGAACGCAAGUACCCUCCAGAGCUUAUCGUUAAGAACGACUACUUCUUUCACUACGUCCAGGAUGGCUUCUUUGGUUGGUAUUUUGAUUCCGAACUCUGUUACAAAAAGUCCUUGAGCGACUACCAGCGGCUAGUCAUUUUCAACGAUGGUGGUGUUGAGUAUACAAGUUGGAGUAGAUACCGAGCAUUUUAUAGCACCCCUGACGCUGAUAGAGAUUAUCUCCAAUACUGGGAAACAAUUGUGAAGGAAAUUAAAUGGGUUGAACAGUAUUUGCUGAUAAAUGAGUCGUCUAUUGAGUGGGCGCGUAUACAUUCAAAGGCCACAUUCCAAGCAUGUAGGAUCGCAGCUGGGUUUCAGAACAUGACUCUGGAACUAGCAGCUGUUGGUUUGCAUGAGUAUAUAUGGGAUGCACGCAUAAAUCUCAUGUUUGUGAAAGAUCGUGAUGGUGUCUUCUAUCAGAUUUGGAAGCGGGUCAAUGAUAAUCAUCAGCUGAGUUUCAGAGAUGCUCUUGAGCAAGUUUAUGGUGAAAACUUGUAUUCAGCACACGACCGCAAUAUGAAGUAUGAGCUGAAUUACGGCGAUUCCAACAUGGAGCAUGUUUUUGAUCGGUGCAUGAAAGGCAUUAGUGACAGUGUUCCAGAAUGUAAAGGCCGUGAGCUGAUUGCACAGGAGAUCCGUUGGACGAGUUUGUCGUCUGGAACAUAUGCGCAGUACGCCAGGAAGAAGCUGAAGAUUGCAGAACUGAUAGGAUUAAUUCCAAGGACAAGAUAG
rnacentral:rRNA from 1 species